GAUUUCUUGGUGGGAUUUCAUCCCCAAAUACAUGGGAUGACCGUCCAUGCACUGAUGUAAUACCAUUUGUGUGUUAUAAUGGUACAGUGAACGGUGGACCAUCUUUUGUUUUCAUUCAAACUUCUCUAAAUUGGACUGAUGCUCAGACAUUCUGCAGAAAGAAUUAUGUUGAUCUAGCCAGUAUAAGAAAUCAAACAGAAAAUGGCAUCAUCCAAGCCCUGGUAGGCUCAGUUACUGUCUGGAUUGGUCUGUAUCGCCAGAAAUUGUGGUCUGACGGCAGCAACUCUGUCUUUGUGAACUGGGAUACUGGUCGACCAAACUCUGAUGGGGCGCGGUGUGUUGCCACAUCAUUCAGUAAUUCGGGAAAAUGGUCGGAUGAAGACUGUACCCAAACGCUCCCAUUCAUCUGUUACAAACAAGCUCCCAAGAAUGCAGAAAAUCUCAGACCAGCAGCACAAAAUGAGACCAGUAUCACUCUGCAGUGGAGUAAAAUCAAC